rnacentral:rRNA from 1 species
CUUGCACCGGGUGGCGAGUGGCGGACGGGUGAGUAACACGUAGGAAUCUGCCUGGUAGUGGGGGAUAACCCGGGGAAACUCGGGCUAAUACCGCAUACGCUCUACGGAGGAAAGCGGGGGAUCGCAAGACCUCGCGCUAUCAGAUGAGCCUGCGUCGAUUAGCUAGUUGGUGGGGUAAAGUGCCACCAAGGCGACGAUCGGUAGCUGGUCUGAGAGGACGAUCAGCCACACUGGAACUGAGACACGGUCCAGACUCCUACGGGAGGCAGCAGUGGGGAAUAUUGGACAAUGGGCGCAAGCCUGAUCCAGCAAUGCCGCGUGUGUGAAGAAGGCCUGCGGGUUGUAAAGCACUUUAAGCAGGAAAGAAGGCGCUCAAGGCUAAUAUCCUUGAGGAUUGACGUUACCUGCAGAAUAAGCACCGGCUAACUCCGUGCCAGCAGCCGCGGUAAUACGGAGGGUGCGAGCGUUAAUCGGAAUUACUGGGCGUAAAGCGCGCGUAGGCGGUUUGCUAAGUCCGCUGUGAAAGCCCCGGGCUUAACCUGGGAACUGCAGUGGAUACUGGUUGGCUAGAGUAUGGUAGAGGGUAGUGGAAUUUCCGGUGUAGCAGUGAAAUGCGUAGAGAUCGGAAGGAACACCAGUGGCGAAGGCGGCUAUCUGGACCAAUACUGACGCUGAGGUGCGAAAGCGUGGGGAGCAAACAGGAUUAGAUACCCUGGUAGUCCACGCCCUAAACGAUGAGAACUAGCCGUUGGGUCCGGUUUACGGAUUUAGUGGCGCAGCUAACGCGUUAAGUUCUCCGCCUGGGGAGUACGGCCGCAAGGUUAAAACUCAAAUGAAUUGACGGGGGCCCGCACAAGCAGCGGAGCAUGCGGCUUAAUUCGACGCAACGCGAAGAACCUUACCAAGGCUUGACAUAUAGCGAAAAGUGACAAGAGAUGUCAUUGUCCCGCAAGGGCCGCUAUACAGGUGGUGCAUGGUUGUCGUCAGCUCGUGUCGUGAGAUGUUGGGUUAAGUCCCGCAACGAGCGCAACCCUCGUUCUGUGUUGCCAGCAUUUAGUUGGGGACUCACAGAAGACUGCCGGGGUCACUCGGAGGAAGGUGGGGAUGACGUCAAAUCAUCAUGCCCCUUAUGUCUUGGGCUGCACGCAUGCUACAUGGCCGGUACAAGGGCUGCAAACCGUAAGGUGGAGCGAAUCCCAAAAGCCGGUCUCAGUUCGGAUUGGGGUCUGCAACUCGACCCCAUGAAGUU